rnacentral:lncRNA from 1 species
AGAUUGGCUCGGCGGCAAUGGGGGCAGAGAGGCAGGCAAGUCUGGGCUCCGCCAGGGAGCUCCAGGCCUGGCGCGCGGCUGUGGGUGCCACGCGGGGACUGGGGUGCAGUGGAGACUGUCCGCGCGCGGCUCCAACUCGAGAGCGAGGGUCGCUCGGGAAAACCACAGAUGAUGGUGCUGGAUCAUCGCUAGUUAAAGUGCUGGAUAUGCCCAAGGUCACAUGGCCUAAGAAAAACUGCUCUCCCUUCCAAGGACCCAGCAGUCUUUAGACCAGCUCAAGGUGAAGUGUGAGAGUGGCCUGAACAUGGACAGGAGGAGGAGACCCUCUGGUCCUUUCUCACUUGGGAGUGAUGGGUAAAAUAUCUCACUGUAAAUCUCCCUAAGUGUUACCCACUGUGACUGAAACGUUAUAUAAUAUAGACCGACCUGAGGUUCAAAGAU